rnacentral:rRNA from 1 species
GACGAACGCUGGCGGCGUGCUUAACACAUGCAAGUCGAACGGAAAGGCCCUGCUUUUGUGUGGUGCUCGAGUGGCGAACGGGUGAGUAACACGUGAGUAACCUGCCCUUGACUUUGGGAUAACUUCAGGAAACUGGUGCUAAUACCUGAUAGGAGCUCCUGCUGCAUGGUGGUGGUUGGAAAGUUUCGGCGGUGGGGGAUGGACUCGCGGCUUAUCAGCUUGUUGGGUGGGUAGUUGCUUACCAAGGCUUUGACGGGUAGCCUGCAUGAGAGGUGGACCGGCGACAUUGGGACUACGGUACGGACCAGAGUGGUAUGGGAGACAGUAGGGGGAAACCUUGUACAAUGGGCGGAAGCCUGAUGAAGAAGCGCCGGGUGUGGGAUGAAGGUCUUGUGGUUGUAAACCGCAUUAGCCUGUGACCAAGCGUGAGUGACGGUAAUGGGUAAAGAAGCACCGGCUAACUACGUG